AUGUGGCUUUCAUAGGAGCCUGGUCAACUUACCAGGGGCGUACACUUUUAAAGCAAACGGAGUCUUCUGCUUCUCAUAGCUAUCACCUUCCAACAGUUCCUAGGCUAGAGAUGGGACUUGAUGACCUGACUCCCCUCUCCAUGCUUGGAUUUGAUCUGUCUUGAGCUUGCACAGCUCAUUACAUGCUGUUGAAACCACUGUGUGUUCAUAUGUGUAGCUGCAUUAUUGCGUGUAAGAUACUGUUUCUUUGUAGGCAUCCCUUGCCUCUGGCUCCUAUGGUUUUCCCACCUCUUCUUCUGCAAUGAUCUCUCAGGCUUGGGAGGAAGGGGUUAGAUAUUUAGACAUCCUGUUUUGGGGUAGGAGAUGGAAGGCUAGAGGAGGGAGAACAGAGAGAGAUUAAAUAAUACUAAAUACACUUGGAAAAAGUCAUUUGAAAACAUACUACUGUAGAAAAUUCCUUAAAGUGGAAUAAUUAAUAUGGAGUUAACCUAUAAAGGGAUAGUACCAAUGCUUUUACUGGACCCCAUAGGCUAACAGAGAGCCUAUUACCAGGAAUUGGAGUUGUUGGCCAGUGAGGUCCUAUAGGUCCCCCUUGAUAUUAUAGGCUAUUAGCAAUCCUAUUAGUUACCCUCCGAAACUUGACAUUAAGACCAUAUUACUGAAGACAUCACAUACUUGAGUCAGAACAUGGAUAUAUCAAGUUAGUACUGACCUAGAAGCUUCAUUGCUGACUAACUUUCAUAGUGCCAGAAGCUGCUAUGAAGAACCUUACCAACUACAAUAAUAACUGGCCUGGCAAGACAUGCCUACUUGUACAAUAUUGGCAUGAACAUCAUGGGAGCAACCAACCAUUUUCUGAUAGGAUUUGAGUCCUAUUCCACAAGAUGCAACCCAGACCCAGCACUGUUGUUAGUUAAGACUUUGUGAUUAGACAGGCUGUAGACCCUAGCGGGGAGCUUACUACUUACUAUUACUCUUCCAGAGGGUCAUGGAUUAAACCAACUCAUAAUGACCCAUGCAUAUCUCAACCUUCAUCAGAGAAACUUCUAUUUGCAGUGAAUGGUGAUUCACACAGAUAUCCACAAAUGGUCAAAGUACAGAGACUAAGAGAGUAUAGGCUGCUCAGUCCUGGAGUAGAAAAAACAAAAACAAAAACAAAAACAAAAACAAAAACCAAACCAAAAAACCCAAAAAACAAAACAAACAAACAAAAACCCCGAUAAGGUAGUUAAUUUGCUGAAAAAUCAGAAAAAGUAGAUGAUUUGAACCUAAAAGGGUUUGUGCUUUUCUGUGUCUGUAUAUAGCUUUGUUUCUUCAGGUUUUUGUUGUUGUUGUUGUUGUUGUUGUUGUUAAACAAAAACAAACAAACUGGGCUCGGUGGUCCAUGCUUUAAUCCUUGUACUAGGGAGGCAGAGGGUUGGUAGGCCUCUGAGAGUUUAAGGCCUGGUCUACAUAGCGAGGAGUCCUUGUCCCAAAAGAAACAAGCCAAGCAAGCCUCAGGUGCAUCCUCCACUUCUCCAGCUUGUGCUGGUGGCCCAGUUUUCCUUCAUCUUUGGUAAGACAGUAGUAGGGAAAGCAGCGCUCGUCCGCCUUUGACUAGAACUUCACUAAUCAUUUUACAGUUGCCGAGGGUCUUUCAAUGAAGCAUUGCAGAGGUCAGUCUAGGGGCUCCUUGUGAACCAGGAAAUCCCAUGAAAUGAUCCUUUCUCCUAGGUUCCAUGGAAAUCCUGGGCUCUGUUUAAUUCCUUUGUGACUACUUAGGAAUUCUAAGUUUCUUCACAAUGGUUUUAUUUUAUUUAUUUUUGGCUUCUGAGCAUAGGUUUAAGAUUCUUGUUUUAGGCUGCAUGAUGAAGAUGACAACCAUCGCCAUAGUGUUUGGCUUAGAGAGACUUCAUUUAUCCAACCAAUUAAUGUAGUCCAUUGUUAAUUACAACUGUGAAUACAGAGACCUGGCCAUCAGCCUACUGAGCCAUGAGCUCUAUUUACUUGUCCGUAAAGCUCCAUUAGAAGUUCCUGACAGCAGUGGGCUGAUGCAUUUAGCACAGAUUUUUAAGUGUCUACCUAGAAAUGAAGGAAGAGUUGGCUAUUCACUUGUAUUGGCUAGGCUAAUGGUUGUCAAACAGUUCAGUAGAUGUCAAUAUUGGUUGACAUUGUAAGGUGGUUUCAUCUCGGAAGUGUGUGGCUUGUGACAAGCAAGGGUAGCUGGUCCUGUGGAAGCUGAGUGACUUGCCAAGGAGUGAGUUGCAUCUGCAAGGGCUAGAGAUGAGUCUUGCUAACUUCACCCUUAAACCUAGUUUGCUGAGAAAGUGUGGAGGAAAAUCUCAAGGACAGUCAAAGGGUUGUGAUUCAAGAUGGCUACAGUCAUGCCAAGGGAAAUUAAUAUAUUUGCUUUUCUGAUUUGGGUGAGAUAUCCAAGGGAAAUUUAAAUCCAUUUUAUGAAAUGUUUCAGAAUAAUCAGGCUGAAAUGUCUUGGAAAGGCUCGAUUCAACUACUUUGGUCUUUGGAUUGACCAGGGAUCUAUAUUUUCAAGUAUUUUUCAUACAAAUGUUGACUAUUCACCAGGCAGUGGUGCUGCAUGUCUUUUAAACCCUGCACCUGGGAGGCAGGGUCAGGUGGAUCUCUGUAAGUCUGAGGCCAGCCUUGUCUAUGUAGCAUGUUCCACAACAGUCAGGGCUACAUAGAGGAACCCUAUCUCAAAAAACUAAAACCAAACCAAACCAAUACAAACAGCCCUCUCCCGCAAACAAAAGCAAAACAAGAACAACAACAACAAAAAAAUGCUGACUAUUCUAUAAAUAUUGAGCAUUCUAAUCCAUGUUAAAGUUUUUAUAAUAUAAUAAAAUUAUUUUGUAAAAUAAUAAAAUUGUGAAAACUACAUAGAUUUUUCAGGUUUUUCUGGACUCAUGGAAAUGUUGCCACAAAAUUUUUUUCUUAUUGUUAUCAGGAAAAUCCCAGAUUUUAAAAGUUUUUACUUUGCAAUUAAUUAUUAACUUUUUGUGAGACCAGAUUUCUUAAUGUGUCCCUGGCUGACCUGGGCUUCCUAUGACGAUAAGGCUGGCCUUGAACUCAUAAGAGAUCUGCCUGCUACUUCUUCCCCAGUAUUGGACUUAAGGGUAUGUGCCAUCAAGCCUACCUUAUCUAC
rnacentral:lncRNA from 1 species